rnacentral:rRNA from 1 species
GAGUGCUGGGAUUAAAUGCGUGCGCCGUGCCCACUCUCGUCUGAUCUUGGAAGCUAAGCAGGGUCGGGCCUGGUUAGUACUUGAAUGGGAGACACACGCUUUUAAGGCCAGCACUCG